GCCUGGGUGGCUCAGUGGUUGAGCGUCUGCCUUUAGAUCAGGGUCUGAUCCCAGGGUCCAGGAUCAAGUCCUGCAUCGGGCU
rnacentral:tRNA from 1 species